UGAGGGUAUGAAAGGUACUUGGCUAUUAUCAACAUCAGAGAGAGCUAUUAAGACUAAAGAAGGGGAAGAGCUUUGAACAAACAAAAGCCUUUCUCCUGCUCUGCUAAUCCACCUUGAGAUAUGAUGACUCAUGUCGAGUUGCCUUGGUAACCAUGACGUCAGAAGAGGGGGGAAUCCUUUCACACGUCCAUCCUGUGCCUCAUCCUGUGAGUGCCAUGAGCUGACCCUGCAUGCACAGACAUCGCCCUUUUGCACCUGGAAUCAUUUUGCUGUUGCAGGGUCUGACCACGGGCUGCUUGUCAUUGAUCAUUUUCUUGGGGUGAGCAGUUUUGAUGGACAGGGUGUCUGUCAGUGGCCCAAGGGCACCCAGAGUAUGAUCAGAGACUCUGCUAGCCUCCUUCUCCAUCCCCUCCCCAGCUUUCCUGCUGGGGUCUGUGGUUUGUCUUCAUCAAACGAAGACCUGCAGCCCCAGGGUGGUUUUAGUUUUUGGGAAGUCUGGUCUGUCCUCCCAGGCUGUAAGUCUGGCCCUGUAUAAUGACAACCAAGUCCAAAGAGAAACUCCUCUAAUCCCUGGUUUGCUCUGGAAUGCCAGCUGCAGAGAAACAGCCACAACAGUCACUUGUAAAGAGAGGCCCUUUCUUUGAAGCAGAAUUUGCAGCCAUGGCUAAACAUUCAGGUGAAAUCACACUACAGCAAAUCCUUUCAGGCCGAAGUGGCUCAGCAGAGCUAUUCUAUAUCCUGGGAAGACUUCGGGAUUCAGCGAAUCCUCUGCGAUGAAUGAUCCUGUGCAGUGACUAUUUUAUGUGGUUCUAGUCCAGUAACUGUUAGCCAUACU
rnacentral:lncRNA from 1 species